rnacentral:rRNA from 1 species
GAUGAACGCUGGCGGCGUGCUUAACACAUGCAAGUCGAACGGAAAGGCUCCUGCUUGCAGGGGUACUCGAGUGGCGAACGGGUGAGUAACACGUGGGUGAUCUGCCCUGCACUUCGGGAUAAGCCUGGGAAACUGGAUCUAAUACCGGAUAGGACCACAUUUUGGAUGGUGUGGUGGAAAGUUUUUCGGUGUGGGAUGAGCUCGCGGCCUAUCAGCUUGUUGGUGGGGUAAUGGCCUACCAAGGCGUCGACGGGUAGCCGGCCUGAGAGGGUGUACGGCCACAUUGGGACUGAGAUACGGCCCAGACUCCUACGGGAGGCAGCAGUGGGGAAUAUUGCACAAUGGGCGCAAGCCUGAUGCAGCGACGCCGCGUGGGGGAUGACGGCCUUCGGGUUGUAAACUCCUUUCGCUAGGGACGAAGCGCAAGUGACGGUACCUGGAGAAGAAGCACCGGCUAACUACGUG